CUGGCUUGUAAAUAUUUUACUUUAAAUAAAAUUAGUAUGGACUGAAUUGAGAAUAGUGUUGGUCUACAAGUGUCCAUCACAGCUUGCACAACACCAAAGGUGUGUGUGUGUGUGUGUGUGUGUGUGUGUGUGUGUGUGUGUGUGUGUGUGUGUGUGUGUGUGUGUGUGUGUGCGUGUGUUUAUGAGGCCUUGCUCCUGGGAUAAGUACAUUUACCUUUCACUUGUCAUGGCACAAAAGUCACUUUUCCGAUUGUCAUUUUACAAUAGUAAUAAUUGUUCAUGUUGUUUGCGAACGGAGAUAUACCUAUGUACGUUGUAUAUUUAUAUUCAAUGAAAAAUAAUCUUGUGUCUGUUUGUGCUUGCAUGAGUCUGUGUGAGGAGUGUCUUCACUCUGAUAAGAGUGUCACCACUGUCACUUCCUGACACUGAUGAUAUCAGAUUGCAGGUUGACGACUCCUCAGAAUUAAAACAUGCAACGUGUUUUUUCCAGCUGAUAUAGCAGAACCGACUCCUGAGAGCAGACGUAUCUGAAGCUGUCAGGGAGGAACCAUGGCUACCAUCUCUGAACCGGACCCUGGACUCUCUGAGGAACCUGAGGACACGUCUUUGGACCGGAGGGAGCGCAAGAGAAGAUUUGCUGGUAGAGCAAAGAAGAAGGCUAAGUCCAGACGCCGUGGAAGCCGUCAGAGAGUAACAAAGGUCACCAUCUCUGAACCGGAGCCUGGACUCUCUGAGGAACCUGAGGACACGUCUUUGGACCGGGAGGAGACCAGGAAGAGAAGAUUUGGUAGGUGCCCCUUUAUAGAGAAUUUAAAAGAAAUAAUCCAGUCCAAAACAAUGAUCCAAAAAAGUAUGAUUUCCUCCAAAUACAUUUAAGGUUUUUUUAGCCGAAGUGACCGUGUGUGUGUGUGUGUGUGUGUGUGUGUGUGUGUGUGUUUGUGGUUGUGUGUGUGUGUGUGUGUGUGUGUGUGUGUGUGUGUGUGUGUGUGUGUGUGUGUGUGUGUGUGUGUGUGUGUGUGUGUGUGUGUCCUACUCCUGAACAGCUCUAUGGUUUCACAUCACUGUCAUUGUGAGCAUCGGACUGCUGAGUAUUCUCCUCAUCUCCCUGCGCUUCAGUGAGUCUAAAUCCUAUCCUCCUGAAUAGAAUUACAAUACAGUAAUCAUAUCAUUGAUUGUAUUAAUAGCAAUGAUAAUGUUAAAUAUUGUUUUUGUUAGAUUUAGUGAUAAUAAUAGGGUUAGCACACAUACACCGCACGCACACCCAUAAACACAGCAUACACACACACAAACAAUCCACACACACGUGCACAAACACACACGCACAUGCACACACACUGCACACACGGGCGUGCUGAUGCAGGCGUUUCAAGACAAAUGCAGCGCAGGACACCGCCUACACACACACCACACACACAUGCACACACACACGCGCACACACAUGCACGUGCAUACACACACUGCACACACGUGGAUGCAGAUGUUUCAAAACAAUGGCAAGAUUGAGAUAACAGCCCCGCCGUCGACACACUCUCCCACCUGAGCCUUAUGUCCAUCAAAGACACUUUUUUGCAAAACCUUAUUUUUCUUUAAACAUUCUCCAUCUCCUUGAGCCUCCAGAAAUGUCUUGUGAUAUUGAAAUCCCCCCUCCCCCCUGCCGACUGUAUUAGCUGUUUUAUUUUUCUUAUGUUUUAUGUGUAGGCUAUGUGUGACUGUAGGCUGCUGCUGCUUGUCUUGGCCAGAUCACUUGAAGAGAUGUUUAAUCUCAAUGACGCAUUCUUCUGUGAACAAAAAAAAAACAUCUCUCACGUCAGGUAGCCAAUGUACAAUCUGUAAUCUAGCCCUCACACCCCCCCCCCCCCCCCCCCCCUCACCCCCCCCCCCCCGCACAAGCCUGUGCUUUAGUUCACUAUAGUUAAGUAGGUUGCUGCCUUAGCUGUUGUAACAUGAACAUUUUUCAGCUGUUUGUUAUUAUUAUUUCCAACUAACCAAUAGUAGUUGCCAUGCAUUUUUUUUUAGUAUCAAUGCACUUUGAGCCCUGAAUAACAGUAAAAGCUAUUGAAUGGUUGAUUUGCAUUCAUAGUCUACAACACUAUCCAUUAAACAAAUACCCCUGUAACCCAACAGUUAGCUGAACAUUAUAUGGUCGCAUCCUUCCACUCCCUGUUUUCUCACCCUGUUUAAACAAGAAAUCAACUGCAUUUGUCCCAGUGUUUGUGCUAUGGGAAAUUAAAGGUCCCAUGGCAUGCUACUUCAUGGAUGCUUUAAUAUAGGUAUUAGUGGGCCCCAAACACAGUAUUUGAAGAUGUUCCUGAAAUUCAGCCGUGGUGCAGAAUUAGCCACUACGGGCAGUCGCACAUUGAGCUUUCCCCAAAUGUGCCGUUUCUGUGUCAGUAGCUUUAAUGCAAAUGAGGAGGAGAGAUGCGGGACAAGAAGGAGGGUGGGGGUGUGGCCCUGAGCAGCUUGAGGCCACGGUACCAUGCGCUCUGCUUACAGUGGAUGUAUCGCAAUGGCGAGGCAUACAACAAUCAAUCCCUUUUUCCUCAAUGUCAUGGUUCAUGUACUUCAGGGAGUCAAAGCCAAAGUUCCUUUCCCCCAAUUCCUUCUCAACCAUGGCGGAGAUAACCCCAACUACAGUCUGGUUGUGGAAUUACUAGGGACGUCAAAGAACCGACGUUUUAUGCGCCAUAGCAUCAAAGCAGAACAGUUAUCCAAACUACAAAGCACCACACAUGUGGCGCACGCAUGGUCGUAGCUCAUUGUCUGAUUGGCAGGCCGAAUUUUCUGGGCGGGCCAGUCAGAGAAAGGGGAGGUAACUUGGCCCCUUAUGACGCCAUAUGGGGCCACAUUACAAAUCAGCGCCCCUUAGCUUCCAUUUUUUUUAUAGGCGAGCAGGAUACCUAGUGCUCGUUUCACACCGAACGCAAGUUCGGUGUGACCCUAUCAUAUAUUCCCCUGGAGAGGGGAAUAUAUGAUGCAUCGUUGCAGUAACAUUUAAGAUGAUGGCGAUGAGUUCUGCCCGUUCUGCCUCCGUGCUGUCUGCGGUCAAACCAAAACAAACUACAGUGUCAGCGGCCGCACUUAUCCCGCCUCUUGCGAACUUCGACCAUGCGUCCAAUCCCGCCCUUUGCAAGCCCACCCCCCUAGACUCUGCUGAUGUCUGAACGACAUCGAUGUCCGCAUAUAAAGCAUCAAGUGUGAAAAACCCUCAGGGGCGAAUCUUCUGAUAUACAAAUACGGCAAACUUAAAAAUAUUAUGCUUGCUUCAUGGAGUUAGGAGAAAAUUAUUAUGCUUGCUUCGUUACGUUAUAGGUGAACCAAUAUAUUAUACGUUGUAACAUUAUAGGCAAUUAUUUUUUUUUAUAUUUAAUUAUAUUACAUUAUGCGCUCAGAAAUUAAAUAUAUUUUAUAUUAUAGCUAUGGGUUUAAAAAUUACUAGAGGUUGAGCGCAGGCAACGCACACACGGACACUCUAGUCUUACUUCUAUAUAAUAGCAGGCCUGUCGCGCCAGUUACUCAAGUUGGUCAGUGUGCACGUGCCAAGCAGCCUGCAGCUCUCACACACACACAGCACACGCAAACGCAUACAUACACCGCAAGCACGCACAUACACACCGCAUCCACACACACCGAACAAACACACCACACACAUACGCAGCUGUGCACAAACAUACACGGAAUCACACACACACGCACGCACACACACCACUAGCCAAUACAAAGGCAGCGACACAGUCGCCCAGGUAAGAGGUUAUGUUUUAACCGUAACGGCUCCGCCAUCGACACACGCGCAGGUAAGAACACACACGCACGCGCACACACCGCAGCGACACUCGCCCAGGUAACACGUUAUGUUUUCAAACAUAACGGCUCCGUCAUCGACACACGCGCCCAGGUAAGACCACACACGCACAAACCGCGACUCGCACAGGUUAGACGUUAUGUUUUUAAACAUCUUACUGCUAUAGAAUAGCAGGCCUGUCGCACAGGUGAAGGUGCGUCCACACCAAACGCGAAGGGGCGACAUGACUCCAUACAAAUUCAACGUAGAGACUCGAUCAAAGGCCGGGCCUUUGAUCGAGCGUUUGUGUUCUUUUUGUCUCACUGCUUUAUCGGGCUAACCUGAGGAGAAAUCUAUGCCAUAAACAGAAAUAUUAUAGGCCUUUAUUACACGGGUCUUCUCAAUGCCGUGGAACGCUCCGUUCACUUGCAUGGGUAGUAGUCCGGUAACUUGUCAACCCCAGCGGCAGACUAUUUCACUGCUGAUCAACACUACGAAUGCUGGUAACGAAUAAAUUGUGAAAAGACACACCAUGUGAAGUUAUUUUCCAAAUAAGAUUUGAAAAACUUUGGAAGUUUAUUUACAACAGUAUUUACAUGGUUUCGGAGUAGUACACUUUGACAUUUGAAUACAGUUCAGCGAGAAAGGCGACGAAGAAUAAGAAGGGGGCGUUCCAGUCUGCGUGAACGAGAACCCCCACCACACGAGAACGCCCAUUUGUGUCUGCAGUGGGAUGAUAUUGAAAUAUUUGAACUUCACCGCGACAUUCGUGUGAUGACAGCCAAUCAGCAUUCAACGGCUACUGAGUGACAUAACGUAACAGCCAAUCAGCUUUCAACAGCGUGGCCACUGAGGGACGUAACGUAACAGCAAAUCAGCGUUCAACAGCGUGGCCACUGAGUUACGUAACGUAACAGCCAAUCAGCUUUCAACCGGCCAACCGUUCCCUGCAGUGCCGUCCGGGUGAACCGCAGCAUGGAGGAGAAGGGAUUGUUGCCGUUUGCACUCCCGGAGCUCUAUCUAUAAUAGUUUAUAAUAUGAUAUAAAUGUAAUAUAUAAUAUUACGGCCAGAAGCUGUGUGAGCCUCCGGACGGCCGUAGCGCGUCGGGAUUGGGCUUCGAGGGGUUUGCUUACUGGCGUUGCUAUGGUUACCGGUCUAGUGUUUUCCAACGGUUUAUUAGCGGUGGUAUCUAAUAAAUCGCGGUCUAAUCAAUACUUCAUUCACUGCCUCUUCCGUGGUCAUUACGAUAUUAUGGACCGACUGCGUCUGGUUCUCCGCCGUCCCUCCCUCUUCCAAAACAGGUAAAGACAUGCUACGGUGGUUAUCUCGGCCGUGGUUGACAAUGAAUUGGCAUGAAGCUCCGUUGGCGGGCAAAAAAUGCUUGCUUCAUAACGCAGAGAGGAAAUGAUUAUGCUUGCUUCAUUACGUACUAGCUGAACCUAAAUGUUAUACGUUGUAACAUUAUAGGCAAAGUGUUAUUAUAUUAUGUGCUCAGAAAUGUGUUCCAUUAUCGACU
ensembl:lncRNA